UACGUAGGGCGCAAGCGUUGUCCGGAAUUAUUGGGCGUAAAGAGCUCGUAGGCGGUUUGUCGCGUCUGCUGUGAAAACCUAAGGCUCAACCUUGGGCUUGCAGUGGGUACGGGCAGACUAGAGUCAGGUAGGGGAGAACGGAAUUCCUGGUGUAGCGGUGAAAUGCGCAGAUAUCAGGAGGAACACCGGUGGCGAAGGCGGUUCUCUGGGCCUGUACUGACGCUGAGGAACGAAAGCGUGGGGAGCGAACAGG
rnacentral:rRNA from 1 species